UACGUAGGGACCAAGCGUUGUUCGGAUUUACUGGGCGUAAAGGGCGCGUAGGCGGCCUUCUAAGUCAGACGUGAAAUCCCCCGGCUUAACCUGGGAACUGCGUCUGAUACUGGAGGGCUUGAGUGCGGGAGAGGGAUGUGGAAUUCCAGGUGUAGCGGUGAAAUGCGUAGAUAUCUGGAGGAACACCGGUGGCGAAGGCGGCAUCCUGGACCGACACUGACGCUGAGGCGCGAAAGCUAGGGUAGCAAACGGG
rnacentral:rRNA from 1 species